rnacentral:rRNA from 1 species
UACGGAGGAUGCAAGCGUUAUCCGGAAUGAUUGGGCGUAAAGCGUCCGCAGGUGGCUAUGUAAGUCUGCUGUUAAAGAGUGAGGCUCAACCUCAUAAGAGCAGUGGAAACUACAUGGCUAGAGUGCGUUCGGGGCAGAGGGAAUUCCUGGUGUAGCGGUGAAAUGCGUAGAGAUCAGGAAGAACACCAAUGGCGAAGGCAGCUCGCUGGGACGGUACUGACGCUGAGGCGCGAAAGCGUGGGGAGCAAACAGG